CAUUGCCAUGCCUAGUACGGCGAGUGAAGCGGCAACAGCUCAAAUUUGAAAGCUAGCCUUCGGGUUCGCAUUGUAAUUUGUAGAGGAUGCUUUGGGUAAAACGCCAGUCUAAGUUCCUUGGAACAGGACGUCAUAGAGGGUGAGAAUCCCGUAUGUGACUGGAAAUGUUAACCUAUGUAAAGCUCCUUCGACGAGUCGAGUUGUUUGGGAAUGCAGCUCUAAAUGGGAGGUAAAUUUCUUCUAAAGCUAAAUAUUGGCGAGAGACCGAUAGCGCACAAGUAGAGUGAUCGAAAGAUGAAAAGCACUUUGGAAAGAGAGUUAAAAAGCACGUGAAAUUGUUGAAAGGGAAGCGCUUGCAAUCAGACUUGUUUAAACUGUUCGGCCGGUCUUCUGACCGGUUUACUCAGUUUGGACAGGCCAGCAUCAGUUUCGGCGGCCGGAUAAAGGCUCUGGGAAUGUGGCCUCCACUUCGGUGGAGGUGUUAUAGCCCAGUGUGUAAUACGGCCAGCCGGGACUGAGGUCCGCGCUUCGGCUAGGAUGCUGGCGUAAUGGUUGUAAGCGACCCGUCUGAA
rnacentral:rRNA from 1 species